ensembl:lncRNA
CGCACAUCACAUGCACCCAGGAGAGAAACUCAAGCACCAAGACAGCAAACAAUGGCAAAGAGACAGCAUAGGAAGUAUGCAGUUGUUUACCAUUUUGGGGGCAAAUGCUCAUUAACGUUUACUUUUUCCAUUGCAGAUAUGUAUUUUGUGUAAUUCUUCAGGGCCAAGUCCACUGAUGUCACAAUAAACAUAUUGUCUCUAAGUUCCAUUAGCGUCCUGCCAUAUCUUGGGAGCUUUCUUCCCAGGGGAAGGGAUCAGUUGCUUGUUUCAAUGAGAAGAAUAUUGAGACGUCAGUUAUUUUUUUCCCACAAAGAAUACGGUAGAGCCAUACAGCUAUGGAUGAUGACACAAUUAAACAGGCAAGAGAUUUCAAUCACAUUACAUCACUGCUCCUAGGAAAAGACAGAUAAGAAAAGCAUGCCUGGGCUAAUCUGUUUCUGACCUUUGUCAUUCAGAGAGAACCUCCUGGAAUGUAAGUGUUGCACAAAGGAUACCUGGGAUUGUCUCCGUAUGAGGCAGCAUUGCUUGGAACACUAGGUGUUUUCAUUUGUUGAUCUUGGAUGGGGUUGGCAGCUAGAGAGAUGGCUAUCAAAUUAUAAGUUGGGCUGGGCUGAAGUCUCCAUUACCUGUGCUGGAGGCAGGAAAAGGAAAUAGAGAGACAUAUGCCCAUGCCACCGUUAGAAAUUUUGUCUGAUGCAUGGAUUUAACAGUUUUGGAGUAUAGCUUGGUUUUGAGAAAGUAGGCAAGAUUUCUGUUUUAUUUAGCUUGCAAGCACAGGAAAUUUGCAUUGGCCCUUGUCGCCUGCCUAUCUAAUUAACAGAGUCUCUUUGGAUAUACAUGCUCUUUGUUUUAUUUGCUUACCCAAAUAUAUGCUUUAAAUGCAACCCUAUCCCUCUCUCUAUCCAUCUGUUUAUUUAUUUAUGACAAUUCUUCUUUUGGUUGUCAAGGUCCAGCUUCUGCUCGCCCACCUGUAUCUGAGUUAAAUCUGAAGGUAAAUGGAACAGGCUUGCUCUUUGGUGGCGCCACCUAGUGGUCUCCCAUGGCAACACAGUUCUCAGCAAUCAAAUGACUAAGGACUUUGAUGUCAGAAUAUUAUGUAGGUUGGUGGGGGAAGUACAGAAAAGAAACGCACCGACAUUUAUUAAGUUCCAGUUGCUAGGCUCAGAAUUUCACACAUUUCAUCUUUCUUAAACUUUAUAAAACUCUAUGUGGUAGAUAAUAUCAUUUCCUAAAUACUGCUAUUCAUAGCUAGCAUUCAUUGAAUGCAUCCUAUGGGCAGGGCACUGUGCUAGAUGCUUUAUAUACCAUUGACUCAUCUGUCCUAGUAACAACCCAUGAGGCGUGAAUUAUGUGGUCUUUUGAGUCUAAUUGCCAGGAUCUGUAACAGGCCCCAGCCCUUUCAAGCUAUCCCUAUUUCAUUUUCCUCACCUAUAAUAAUAGCACAUACGUCAUAAAGCAGUUGUGAGAAACAAAUAAGACUUCUAAAGUACUUCAGAAAGUGUCUGACACCUAAUAAGCGUUAAAUAUAUGCCAAAUAGCAGCCAAGACUUUUGCCCCAGUGCAGCUAAACAUUGCUGGACAAAAACCCAACUAUGCUGACUGGUCUUCUAAAUUUCAUAUUGUUAAA